rnacentral:rRNA from 1 species
UACGAAGGGGGGCUAGCGUUGCUCGGAAUCACUGGGCGUAAAGCGCACGUAGGCGGCUUUUUUAAGUCAGGGGUGAAAUCCUGGAGCUCAACUCCAGAACUGCCUUUGAUACUGAGAAGCUUGAGUCCGGGAGAGGUGAGUGGAACUGCGAGUGUAGAGGUGAAAUUCGUAGAUAUUCGCAAGAACACCAGUGGCGAAGGCGGCUCACUGGCCCGGUACUGACGCUGAGGUGCGAAAGCUAGGGGAGCAAACAGG